AACGCACAUUGCGCCCGCCAGUAUUCUGGCGGGCAUGCCUGUCCGAGCGUCAUUUCAACCCUCGAAGCCCCUCCGGGGGCUCGGCGUUGGGGAUCGGCACCCCGCCCUCAGGCGGCGCCGGCCCCUAAAUACAGUGGCGGUCUCGCCGCAGCCUUCCCAUGCGCAGUAGCUUGCACGCUCGCAGCGGGAGCGCGGCGCGGCCACGCCGUAAAACCCCCCAAUUUCUCACGAAAGGUUGACCUCGGAUCAGGUAGGGAUACCCGCUGAACUUAA
rnacentral:misc_RNA from 1 species